rnacentral:lncRNA from 1 species
GUGAAAUGUGGUCUUCUAGCCAUAGAAGUAGCUUGUGCUCCUAGGGUAUUCCUUGAGGCUCUGUAUGAAGAAUGUCCAUUUGUUUGAGUCCCUAACCUACAGAAUAUUCCUGACCAUGGAAAUGUGAUAGAUAGGAGUAAGCACAUGGACCAAAAGGCCUGGAGGCUCAUCAUUUAAGGUACAAGCCAAUUAUGUAGUCUUUGAAAGAAUGCUUUGAAAUUCAGCUUGCUUGAUUCAAUUCCCAAUAUUUUCAUUUGUAUUAAAAGAUUUGGCCCUUACAGGUUAAAAACAAUGUCAGUGUAACCAAGUGACAUUCAAAUUUUGGCUCCCAACAUGUGAUAUGACAUCACUUCAUGUGAAAAUAGCGAAGCUCCAAACAUUUUCUUUCAGUCACCUUAUUAAGCUCGCUGAGCCCUGACAGCCUAAUGAAAGGCUAAGGGGGAAGAAAAUGUCCCAACUUCUACACUGUUGAAGAUGGGCUAAUGAGAGGUUAGCUUGCAAGAAUCAUUCUUUCUUGGCAUCCUGCUUCUGACUGCUUGGCUUUCAGCUUAUACCCAGCAUGAAAAUUUAAUUUCCUCGCAGUUGAAGGUAGUUUAAAGCUUAUUACUCACAUGCUAAAAUGUUGAUGUAUCUGUUUUUGUGCUUGUUUUCUGGAUGAUUGGAAUGCUCUGCAGUGAUGUUCAUAUCAGCAGUACAGCGCUGGACUUCCUAGUGAAGAAAACAGCAAGAUUAUAGACACAGUUUAGAAACAAAGGAACACCAUAUACAUUUAAAGGCAUAAAGUAUUUACUCACUCCCUGGCCACAGCCACCGUUACCUUCUCAAUCCCAACUUCGGAUAUAAUUAUUGAUAUAUUUAUAACGAGUUUAUGAAGAAUGUGAAAAAGAUCUGACCACCCUAGCUAUGGACUGAAGUUGGAGCCUCUUUUCUAAUAUAAUGCAAUUGACCAAGACUGCUUGGGAGCAGCUGUCAGUAUUGUUUAAAGCUGUCAUUCAAUAUGGCCAAACUCUUUGUUAUCUAAAACCCCUUGUCUGAUCUGUUGCCUCUGUUUCACUUUUCCAAUUAGAUGAAUGACAGAAACAAAAAAUCGUAAUAAAUAUUGUCAAAUC